rnacentral:rRNA from 1 species
GACCAUCUCCUAAGGCUAAAUACUCUCUAGUGACCGAUAGUGAACCAGUACCGUGAGGGAAAGGUGAAAAGCACCCCGGAAGGGGAGUGAAAUAGAACCUGAAACCGUGUGCUUACAAGUAGUCAGAGCCCGUUAAUGGGUGAUGGCGUGCCUUUUGUAGAAUGAACCGGCGAGUUACGAUUUGAUGCAAGGUUAAGCAGUAAAUGUGGAGCCGUAGCGAAAGCGAGUCUGAAUAGGGCGUUUAGUAUUUGGUCGUAGACCCGAAACCAGGUGAUCUACCCUUGGUCAGGUUGAAGUUCAGGUAACACUGAAUGGAGGACCGAACCGACUUACGUUGAAAAGUGAGCGGAUGAACUGAGGGUAGCGGAGAAAUUCCAAUCGAACCUGGAGAUAGCUGGUUCUCUCCGAAAUAGCUUUAGGGCUAGCCUCAAGUGAUGAUUAUUGGAGGUAGAGCACUGUUUGGACGAGGGGCCCCUCUCGGGUUACCG